UACAGAGGCCUCGAGCGUUAGGCGGAAUCACUGGGCUUAAAGCGUGUGUAGGCGGACUUCUAAGUACCUUGUGAAAUCCCACGGCUCACCCGUGGAACUGCUCGGUAUACUGGUCGUCUUGAGCCUUCUAGGGGCGAGUGGAACAAAUGGUGGAGCGGUGAAAUGCGUAGAUAUCAUUGGAACGCCAAUGGUGAAAACAACUCGCUGGGGAAGUGCUGACGCUGAGACACGAAAGCCAGGGGAGCAAACGGG
rnacentral:rRNA from 1 species